rnacentral:ncRNA from 2 species
AUGUUAUCAUGAAAGGCAGAGGGACUAGACCCAUUGAAGCCUUGGCAACCCUUUUUCGACCAAAAGAAGAUGAGAAGGUGCUAAAUUCUACUGAUUGGUUACUCAAUCGGAAAGAUAACCC